rnacentral:rRNA from 1 species
GUGGGGAAUAUUGGACAAUGGGCGCAAGCCUGAUCCAGCAAUGCCGCGUGGGUGAAGAAGGCCUUCGGGUUGUAAAGCCCUUUUGUACGGGAAGAAAUCCUGUCGGUUAAUACCCGGCGGGGAUGACGGUACCGUAAGAAUAAGCACCGGCUAACUUCGUGCCAGCAGCCGCGGUAAUACGAAGGGUGCAAGCGUUAAUCGGAAUUACUGGGCGUAAAGCGUGCGUAGGCGGUUCGUUAAGUCUGUCGUGAAAGCCCUGGGCUCAACCUGGGAAUGGCGAUGGAUACUGGCGAGCUAGAGUCAGGUAGAGGGUGGCGGAAUUCCCGGUGUAGCGGUGAAAUGCGUAGAGAUCGGGAGGAACAUCUGUGGCGAAGGCGGCCACCUGGACCAUGACUGACGCUGAGGCACGAAAGCGUGGGGAGCAAACAGGAUUAGAUACCCGAGUAGUCC